rnacentral:rRNA from 1 species
UGGGGAAUAUUGGACAAUGGGCGAAAGCCUGAUCCAGCCAUGCCGCGUGAGUGAUGAAGGCCCUAGGGUUGUAAAGCUCUUUCACCGGUGAAGAUAAUGACGGUAGCCGGAGAAGAAGCCCCGGCUAACUUCGUGCCAGCAGCCGCGGUAAUACGAAGGGGGCUAGCGUUGUUCGGAAUUACUGGGCGUAAAGCGCACGUAGGCGGAUUGUUAAGUCGGGGGUGAAAUCCCGGGGCUCAACCCCGGAACUGCCUUCGAUACUGGCAAUCUAGAGUCCGGAAGAGGUGAGUGGAAUUCCGAGUGUAGAGGUGAAAUUCGUAGAUAUUCGGAGGAACACCAGUGGCGAAGGCGGCUCACUGGUCCGGUACUGACGCUGAGGUGCGAAAGCGUGGGGAGCAAACA